rnacentral:rRNA from 1 species
GAUGAACGCUGGCGGCGUGCUUAACACAUGCAAGUCGAACGAAGCAGUUAAGACAGAUUACGUCGGUUUGAAGUCUUUUAUGAGUGAGUGACGGACGUGAGAGUAACGCGUGGGUAACCUAACUCACACAGGGGGAUAGCAGUAGGAAACGUCCGGUAAUAUUGCAUAAGCGCACAGUACCAAAGGGUAUAGUGGUAAAAAGUCCGGUGGUAUGAGAUGUACUCGGGUCUGAGUAGCUUGCCGGCCGGGUAAGGGCCAACUAGGGCGCCGAUCAGUAUCCGAUCUCAUUGGGUGACAGACAACAUUGGGACUGAGACGCGGCCCAGACGCCUACGGGAGGCAGCAGUGGGGAAUAGUGCGCUAUGGAGGCGCCUCUGAUGCAGCGAAGCCGCUUGGGUUAUGAACUAGUUCGGUAUGUAGAGCACUCUCAGCAGGGGAGAUAGUGACGGUACCUGGCUAAGAAGCUCCGGCUAACUACGUG